GACGAACCGUGCGAACGUUAUUCGGAAUCACUGGGCUUAAAGCGCGUGUAGGCGGGAGGGCACGUCCGUCGCUGAAAUCCCCGGCUCAACCGGGGAACGGGCGCGGAUACGACCUUCCUGGAGGGGCGUAGGGGGACCUGGAACUUCCGGUGGAGCGGUGAAAUGCGUUGAGAUCGGAAAGAACACCAACGGCGAAAGCACUCUGCUGGCCGACACUGACACUGAGAGACGAAAGCUAGGGGAGCGAAUGGG
rnacentral:rRNA from 1 species